rnacentral:lncRNA from 1 species
AAGAGGUAUCAAAACACCAAAUAAAAGUCCAAUAAAAAUGGAGGAGAUCAACAAAAUUAUAAGUAACUUGACCUCAAAAGUUGGGGUGAAAAAUGUUUUAAAAUGAUUAAAAAUAAAAUGUUAAAUGAAAAUUAAAUGGAAAAUAAAAUAAAAUAUGAAUUAAAUGCAAAAUAUGUUUUGAAAAAAAAUGCAAAAAUUAUAUGUGGUAGAAAAUAUUUUUAUGAAAUUAUGAAAAAAAGUUGGACUAAAAAAUUAUAAAGGAGCUAUUUAAAAUUAGUUUUGAAAGAAAAAGAAAUAAAAAGAAAUAAAAUAUAAAAAGAAAACAUUUAAAUGUAACGGCUAUGAAGGUGGAGCGUUCUGAUUGGCCAAGGGAUUCAAAUUUCCCCCUGAAGCGUGUGAAGCACUU